UACGGGGGGGGGCAAGCGUUGUUCGGAAUUACUGGGCGUAAAGGGCUCGUAGGUGGCCAACUAAGUCGGAUGUGAAAUCCCCAGGCUUAACCUGGGAACUGCAUCCGAUACUGGAUGGCUUGAAUCCGGGAGAGGGAUGCAGAAUUCCAGGUGUAGCGGUGAAAUGCGUAGAUAUCUGGAGGAAUACCGGUGGCGAAGGCGGCAUCCUGGACCGGCAUUGACGCUGAGGAGCGAAAGCUAGGGGAGCAAACGGGG
rnacentral:rRNA from 1 species